rnacentral:rRNA from 1 species
GCUUGUCUCAAAGAUUAAGCCAUGCAUGUCUAAGUAUAAACGAUUUUAUACGUGAAACUGCGAAUGGCUCAUUAUAUCAGUUAUAGUUUAUUUGAUGGUCCUUACUACUUGGAUAACCGUAGUAAUUCUAGAGCUAAUACAUGCAUCAAGCCCUGACUUCGGAAGGGGUGUAUUUAUUAGAUGGAAACCAAUGCAGGGCAACCUGGAAUAUGGUGAUUCAUAAUAACUCGCGGAUCGGUUUACCGAUGCAUCAUUCAAGUUUCUGCCCUAUCAGCUUUGGAUGGUAGGGUAUUGGCCUACCAUGGCUUUAACGGGUAACGGGGAAUUAGGGUUUGAUUCCGGAGAGGGAGCCUUAGAAACGGCUACCACAUCCAAGGAAGGCAGCAGG